rnacentral:rRNA from 1 species
UACGUAGGGUGCAAGCGUUGUCCGGAAUUAUUGGGCGUAAAGAGCUCGUAGGCGGUGUGUCACGUCGGCCGUGAAAACCUGCAGCUUAACUGUGGGCGUGCGGUCGAUACGGGCAUCACUGGAGUUCGGCAGGGGAGACUGGAACUCCUGGUGUAGCGGUGAAAUGCGCAGAUAUCAGGAGGAACACCGGUGGCGAAGGCGGGUCUCUGGGCCGAUACUGACGCUGAGGAGCGAAAGCGUGGGGAGCAAACAGG